rnacentral:rRNA from 1 species
UACGUAGGUGACCAGCGUUGUCCGGAAUUACUGGGCGUAAAGGGCUCGCAGGCGGCCGACUAAGUCAGACGUGAAAUCCCUUGGCUUAACCAAGGAAUGGCGUCUGAUACUGGACGGCUUGAAUCCGGGAGAGGGAUGUGGAAUUCCAGGUGUAGCGGUGAAAUGCGUAGAUAUCUGGAGGAACACCGGUGGCGAAGGCGGCAUCCUGGACCGGUAUUGACGCUGAGGAGCGAAAGCUAGGGGAGCAAACGGG